ACAAAAAAAUAAUUUUUUUUUUCACAAGGUACGUACGGUUAUAAAUAAAUAUUUAUUUGUUACUGAAUUGACCAUAGACCAAUUCCCUUAUUGAUUUGGGAGUAUUCAAUACACCCAUGAAUUCUGAGCUUCAUGUUACUCAUCCCAAGAGACAUGCCAGAUAGAGGACAUUCCAAUUUAAUUGAAUGGAAUGACAGUUUCUCAUUUGAAAUCUGUACAAUAAGAAUUUUUAUCAAAUCACACAUCGCAGUAUACUAGACCUUCUAAUUCUUUAAGAGGUUUAUCUAAAAGGCUCGCAAUAUAACUAGGAAGACGUUUCAAAUACCAUACAUGGGUUACUGGACAUGCUAGUUUUAUAUACCCCAUUUGAUACCUACGUACCCGAGAAUCAACAAAUUCUACUCCGCAUUGUUCACAAAAUUUGGGUUGGUCUUUUUUAUCUCCGAUUACUCGAUAAUUUCCACAAGCACAAAUCCCACUUUUUAUAGGCCCAAAAAUUCGUUCACAAAAUAAUCCAUCUUUUUCAGGCUUAUUGGUUUUGUAAUGAAGAGUAUAGGGUUUUGUUACCUCUCCAACAAUUUCUCCAUUAGGUAGGAUUUUUUUUGCCCAAGCACUUAUUUGUUCAGGAGAAACUGAUCCAAUUCGAAGGUGUUGAUGUUUAUACUGAUCAAUCAUAGAAUAAAAUUUCUGAUUCAGUCCAAUUAAACUUCCUUCCUUUGAAUCUGGAAGUCUUUCUCAGAUACAAGGAAAUGAUUCAGUUCCAGAGCCAAAGAUCGUAGUUCUCGAACGAGCAAUCGAAAAGAUUCUGGAGCAUCCACAGGUUUAGGUAUUGUUCCUCCAAUAAUCGUAGUUCCGAGUACUUCUUGACGAGCUUUAAUAUGAUCAGAUUUAUAAGUCAGCAUCUCUUGUAAAAUAUGAGCAACACCGAACCCCUCGAGCGCCCAAACCUCCAUUUCGCCUACCCGUUGUCCUCCUUGUUUCGCCCUUCCUUUAAGGGGUUGUUGUGUAACAAGUGCAUAAUGUCCACUGGAACGUCCAUGUAUUUUAUCAUCAACUUGAUGAAUUAAUUUCAAAAUAUAAGGCUUUCCUAUUAUAACAGGCUGUUCAAAAAGAUUCCCUGUUCUUCCAUCAAAUAUUCCGCUCUUUCCCGGAUACUCGGGUUCAAAUAUCCAUGGAUUCGAUGUUUGUUUACUGGCUUCAUAUAAUUCAGAAAACACAAGUUUUCUGGAAGCCUCCUGUUCAUAUCUCUCAUCAAAAGGUGCUAUUCGAUAAUGUCUAUUUAGCAUACUCCCAGCUAAUCCGAGUGAACAUUCCAAUAUCUGUCCUACAUUCAUUCGUGAGGGUACCCCUAAUGGGUUGAAGACCAUAUCAACGGGUCUUCCAUCUUGCAAAUAAGGCAUAUCCUGUCUAGACAAAAUCUUUGAAACGAUACCUUUAUUUCCAUGUCUCCCGGCCACUUUAUCACCUACUUUAAUUUCACGUUUCUGUGAAAUAUAUAUAUGAAUCGUUUCUGGAUUAUAGCUAGAACCUGCUUUUUUUUGGAUCCAUCUCACAUCAAUAACUCGGCCCCUACCACCUAUAGGUAGUUUUAGACAAGUUUCCUUUGAGGUCGAUACCUGAAUCCCAAGUAUAGCUCGUAAUAAUCUAUCUUCCGGAGCAUAUGAGGAUUCUUUCGCCAUUUGAGGCGUUAAUUUACCCACUAAAAUAUCCCCUGUUUCUACCCAAGAUCCCAGAAUCACAAUUCCAUUUUUGUCUAAAUUUCGGAGUAAAUGGGCUUCUAGAUGUGGAAUUUUAUUAGUGAUUCUUUCAGGACCAUGGCUUGUCACAUGAGUCUGAAUUUCAUAUUUACGUAUGUGAAAAGAAGUAUAAAUAUCUUCAUAGACCAGACGUUCACUAAUGAGUACAGCAUCUUCAGAAUUGUAACCUUCCCAUGGCAUAUAAGCUACUAAUACGUUUUUUCCCAAAGCGAGUUCACCGCCAACAGUAGCAGCACCAUCUGCUAAAAUUUGCCCCUUUUUUACGCAUUUACCUUUAUGAACCCGGGAUUUUUGAUGCAUGCAAGUAUUUUUGUUGGAACGUUGAUAUAUAAUUAAUGGAAUACUUAGAGAAUUCCCAUUUCCAAAUAAAAUGAUCUUGUCAGUAUCGUUAUAAACGAUUUUUCCGGCGUGUUCGGCUAUAGCGGGAACUCCUGAAUCUAAGGCCACUUGGCGUUCCAAUCCAGUUCCAACAAUGCACUUUUCGGACCGAGAAAGAGGAACUGCUUGACGUUGCAUAUUAGAACUCAUUAAAGCUCGAUUCGCAUCAUUAUGCUCGAUAAAAGGAAUCAGGGAAGCUCCAAUAGAAAAAUAUUGGAAGGGAAAAAUACUUCGAAGAUGAACCUGUUCCCAUGCAAUAGUUAGAAAUUCUUGACGGUAUCGAGCUGGAACAAUCUGCUCCUCCUGAAUACCUCGAUUCAGUGCUAAAAAAUUUCCCGUCGCUACCAUAUAGUAUUCAUCUCUACUUGGUGAUAAAUAAAGCAUUCGUAUUCGUUUUGAUCUCUCAGAAAUUUCAAAAAAUGGACUUUCUAUAGACCCCCAACGACCAAUCCUUGCGUGAAUUGCCAAGGAUCCAAUAAGUCCUACAUUGAUUCCUUCCGAGGUGUCAAUUGGACAAAUGCGUCCAUAGUGACUAGGAUGGAUAUCCCGUAUCCGAAAACUAGCAGUUCGCCCCGUCAAUCCUCCAGGACCCAAAUAACUCAAUUUUCUCCCAUGAACUAUUUGGGUCAAUGGAUUGGUUCGAUCUAAAACUUGAGAUAAUGGGUGUAAUCCAAAAAACGAUUCAUAAGUGGUUGUUAAUGGAGUUGAAGUCACUAAAUUCUGAGGAGUCGGUAUCAAUUUAUAUCUAAUUGCUCCAGAUAUAGUUCCUCGAAUUAUAUUUUCUAAACGAACGAGAGCCAAUCCAAAUUGAUCUUGUAAUAGAUCUGCUACGGAACGAAUACGUUUAUUUUUCAAAUGAUUCAUAUCGUCAAGUGUACCCAUUCCAAAUUUCAUUCCAAUCAAAUGAUCCGCAGCUGUCAAUAUAUCUCGCGGUAACAAAAAUGUAUUGUUCUCGGGUAUAUCAAUAUUCAGUCUUCGGUUCAUAUUUCGGCGACCAAUCCCCCCUAAUUCACAUCUUUGUUGAAAAAAUUUUUUUUGUAAUUCCGUACAUAAAGAUUCCGGAAAUAUGGGAUCUCCGCCUACACAAGCAAAUUGUCGAUAAAACUCCAAAAUGGCAUUUUCUUUUGACCCUUAUUUUUUUUCCUCCUUUUCAUUGAGGAAAGAUAUAAAAAUUUCGGGGUAGCAAACGUUCUCAAGAAUUUCGCUUAAAUUCGAACCCAUAGCUGAUGAUAGAACUAGAAUAGAUAUUUUCUGUUUCCUACUUACACGAGCCCAUAUCCUUGCUUUUCUAUCAAUUUCUAACUCUAAUCUUCCCCCCCAAUCUGAUAUUAUUGUGCCGGUAUAGACUGAAAUUCCCUUAUGGUCCAACUCUGAACGAUAAUAGAUACCAGGGCUUUGCAAUAUUUGAUUGAUUACAAUUCUGUAUAUUCCAUUUACUAUAGAAGUUCCCAGGGAAUUCAUUAGAGGAAUGUUUCCAAUAAAAAUAAUUUGUUCUUGGAUAUCCCUACUGUUUUUCCAAAUUAAUCCCGCGGAUAUAUAUAAUUCAGAGGAAUAUGUAAGUGAUUCAUAUACAGCAUCUUUUUCUUUUAUCGAGGGUUCUACCAAUUGAUAUGUUUCCACAAACAACUGAAAUUCAAUUUCUUGAUCCGUAUCUUCAAUUUUUGGAAACUUAAAAAGUUCUUCUGUUAAGCCCCGAUCAAUGAAUCUACAAAACCCUUCAAAUUGUAUUUGAUUCAAUCCGGGUAGUGUAGACAUUCCUUCAUUCCCAACCCCAAGCAUUUUCAAUUUCCCCAUUUAUUUUAUAGAAAAUAUCCCGUGAUUUGCUGUCAUUCUUCAUUGAAUCACAUGAAUCGAUUUAGCAAUAAUGGAAUUUCUGGUCUUUUUACUUUACUGAAUCACAUGAAAUUUUACCUAACGACGUCUAUGAAAUACCUAUUAUGAAAACAGUAGAUUUUAUACUCAAAUUGGAAUUUGCAACAAAACAAACAAAUAGAAUAUAACUUGUAAUAUAAAUCGAAACAAAUUGAUAAAUUUCACCUAGACUUGGGAUAUUUUAUAGUAGUAGUAUAGUAUCUUAUUACAUAAUUCUAAUUCGAUUGAUACCCCAAAAAAUGAAUUCAGGAUUUGUUUGGCUCCAUGAGAUAAAGAUAUCCAAAAAAAAAUAAUCAGAAAAAAUAUACAAUUUAUUUAUUUUUUUCGAAUUUGAGAAUAUGAUUGCAGUGCAUAAAAAGACUUGGAUUUAUUAAACAUGCAUAGAUCUAACUUCAGCUAUAACUAUCUCUAUAUGUCUCUUACUUUAUUGCAGUCCUAUUUGUUCGGGACAGCACAUGUUAUGUUGUGUUCAUUUAUUUUUUCUAUUCAUUCAUUAAUCUAUUUAAUGAAAAAUUGGCAAAAAAAUGAAAGCACGAGAAUUUAUCGAAAAUUCCCUAUAAUAUAGGUAUAUGUAACAACGAAAAUGCAUGUUCUGGGGUUGACAUAUAUUAACAGUUGCUGUUAUAAUUGAAAUAGAGAGGGAUUAAAAAAAAAUAAUAAUAAUAUUGAUUGGUAAUAAUAUUGAUUGGUUAUGUAUCAAUUUCUAUUUUUUUCUCAUUAAUAAAGAAUAGAUUAAGAUUCAAGAAUUAAGAAUUAUUCAGGAAUUUGUAGUUAACGGUUGCUAUUUGUGCUGAAAUUUUGACUUUUCUUUUGUGACUGAAAGGUAUAGGUAUACGUUUGUUUUCAAUAGAAAAGGGGAGGGGAUUAAAGAAAACGGAAUUUAAGAUACAAACACAUCAAAAAAAAGAAUUUUAGAAACCCUUUUUUGUUUUUUUGAGAGGAGGAGGGGUAUUCGGAUCUAUUUUUUUGUUAUUAUUUUGGCGAUAUGGCCGAGUGGUAAGGCGGGGGACUGCAAAUCCUUUUUCCCCAGUUCAAAUCCGGGUGUCGCCUAAUCGAUAAGAGAAUUCAAAUAGUUUAUUUCGUUUUGUUGAUAUAGAAAACUUUUUCUUUUUUUUCCAGCACAAGCUAGUGUAGGAAUAAGGGACUAGUUUGAUGCUAAAUUCUAAGCAUCGGGAAGUUUGUUCUCUAAAAUGUUGUAAAUAUUUUCGUCUCAGAUUCAACGAAAAAUUCAUUAGAGGGAUGAAAAGGAAUAGAUCAAUCUUGAAAUGAUAGUCCUUUUAUUUCACUACUAUUGUAGUGUCCAUCUACUUUAUUGGGUCUUUAAUUAGAUUGGAUAGGGAUAGCUCGGAUGGGGAAUAUAAGUCCAUUUUAAGUUAGGGAAGGUGUUGAAGAAAAACCUUGUAUACAAACUUAUGGUAAAGUAUAUGAACGCUUCUUCAUUUAUUCCAUAUUAGUUAGAUUAAUGAAAUUGAAUAUCUAAUUCGAUUUUUUUUAUUAUUAUAAUAUUGAAUUUCUUUAUUUAUUAUUAUAUAUAUUAAUAUUAUUAUAUAUUAAUAUUAUUAUAUUAAUAAUAAAAUCCAAUUCAAAAAGAAUCCAUUUUUUUUUUCUAAUCUCUAGUAAAAGAAUUUUAGAGGAUGUUUUCCAAUUGUUUUAGAGAACGAAUCGGGAGACAAUCAAAUGGAAAUAAGAGAUGCAAAUAAGAGUCUGAGUAUGCAAAGAAAUCUAUGCUUAAUUUAAUAUUCUUUCAAUUCUACUAGAAAUCAGGUAAGAACUUGUUAGAUGUUCUAAUUGGAUGUUUCGUCAAUGGUGUUAUGACGGAAUCUUUUUUUGACUCUGUACCAGCGAUUCCACUAUUAUUAUAAGAUAUUAUAAAAUUUUUAGUGAAAAAUAAAAACGAAAAUAAUACAAGAAAAAUUAGUAAACAAUAAUAAAAAUAUUUCUUCAUAUUGAUAGAGAUAGGAGACAAAAUUUACAUGGAUAUAGUAAGUCUUGCUUGGGCUGGUUUAAUGGUAGUUUUUACAUUUUCCCUUUCCCUUGUAGUAUGGGGAAGAAGUGGACUCUAAGAGGACUACUAAUUGAGUUAAGGGAUCAAAAUGUCUCAAUUAUUUUAUAGCUAAGUUCUUCCAUUUUUUAACUAUUGCAUUUUGUUAUUUUAUUAAUACUAAUUAAUGAAAUGCAAUUCGAUACUUCAUUUCGAAACUCCAUUGUAUUCCAGUGGUGGAAUAUAAUAUUGAAAAAAAAAAUACUCUUUAAAUCAAACAAAUAUUUGAAUUGUUCCCAUCUUAUUGUCCCGGGAAUACAGAUAAUUGGAAACGGAUUACUACUCCAAACUUAAUUCUUUUUAAGAUUUAUAUUUCGAUGAACUGGUUACCACCAAUCUUUUCUAAAUAUGAAAAACUUUUUCAUCGAAUCCCCCGAUCAGUUGUCAAUUAUUUAAUCAAUUUAAUCAAUUCAUUUUUUUGGAAUACUAAAAAUAAAAAGAUUAUUUUUUUUUUUUUAUCGGGAUUAUGAAAAGAAUGUGAAAUCUAAAAAUUCAAAUAAAAAGAAUAAAAAUGUAUUUUUGAUUAUUUCAGAUUGAUUGGAACCAAUACAAAUAUAAUAGAUUAGAUCAAACAAAGAAAAAAUGUGGACACUAUGGAAUUGAGAUUCCAUAGAUAUCUAUAGAUAUACCCAUAUGAAAAGAAAUAUUUAAAUUGGUCCAUCCAUAUUAUAUUAAACUUCUUUUUUUUUAAGUAAAACAUUCCAUUUUUACCAUACCAUAAUAAAUAGUAUAGUAGAAAGAAAUAGAUUUGAUUUCUUUCUACUAUAUACUAUAGUAUAUGGAUUUCAUAGAAUUCUGCUGAUUGUAGUCUGAUCAUUUUAUUUAAAAGAAAGACCCGAAAUGGAAACCCUUUUUUCUUUAUUCAAUCAUUGUUAUCGCAUUGAUAAGAAAUCAGAAGUCAUGUUUAAUUAAAAUUAGUUACUUUGACUUACCGUUUUUACGUAAAUUAUAAGUAAAAAGGCAGUAGGAACUAGAAUGAAGAGUGCAGUAGCUAUAAAUGCGAGAAUAUUGACUUCCAUAAUCUCUAUGUUUUCUUUCUCUUUUAUUUCGAAUAAAUACUUCGGGAUUUAAUCCCAUAGAAAUGAAAAAUCUUUCGUCAGUAAAUUCAGUGGUAUAAAUUUUAUCUCGAUGAUAUAAAAUCGGAUCAAUAUCACGAAUAACAAUAUCUGAGCUAUCAAAUCAAUUCAUCGUCGAGAAUUAAAUAGUAUAACAUAGGAAGAUCUUUUAUCCAUAACCAAAAAAAAAAAAAAAUUCUUUCUGAUGCAAUGAAAAAUUCCUUUUUCUUUCUUCGUCCGAACCUUUACCUUAAACUAAAAAAGAAAAAAGGAAUCCCUGUUAGAAAAGAAAUGAGAUUUUUUUUUCUUUUUAUCCCUUUCACAUACGAAAUCAAUUGAUAUUUUUUGGAUUUGUAUCCAUCGGGACUGACGGGACUCGAACCCGCAGCUUCCGCCUUGACAGGGCGGUGCUCUGACCAAUUGAACUACAAUCCCAGGGAAAAAGUUGUAUAGCNNNNNNNNNNNNNNNNNNNNNNNNNNNNNNNNNNNNNNNNNNNNNNNNNNNNNNNNNNNNNNNNNNNNNNNNNNNNNNNNNNNNNNNNNNNNNNNNNNNNAAGCUUUGAAGCCUACUAGAGGCGUGGCUAAGGAUGGUAAGUGCUUCUAUUGCAACAACACAGGGCAUUGGAAGCGAAACUGUCCAAAGUAUCUGGAAGAUAAGAAGAAUGGAAAUAUUCCUACUACUUCUGCAGGUAUUUUUGUUAUAGAAAUUAAUAUGUCUACUUCUACAUCAUGGGUAUUAGAUACUGGAUGUGGUUCUCAUAUUUGUACUGAUGUGCAGGGUCUGAGAAAGAGUAGAGCAUUGGCAAAAGGCGAGGUCGAUCUUAGAGUUGGCAAUGGAGCAAAGGUUGCUGCUUUAGCUGUUGGAACUUAUGUAUUGACCUUACCUAGUGGUCUUUUACUUAAUUUAGAAAACUGCUAUUAUGUACCUUCCAUUAGCAGGAAUAUUAUUUCAAUUUCUUGUUUGGACAAGGCUGGUUUUUAUUUUACAAUAAAGAACAAAUGUUGUUCCGUUUAUUUGGAUAAUAUUCUUUAUGCUAACGCAAAUUUGAGUAAUGGACUUUACGUCCUAGAUCUCGAUAUGCCUAUCUAUAACAUUAAUGCUAAAAGGUUGAAACCUAAUGAGUUGAAUCCAACUUACCUUUGGCAUUGUCGUUUAGGACAUAUAAAUGAGAAUCGCAUUUCCAAACUCCAUAAAGAUGGAUUUUUGGAUUCUUUUGAUUUUGAAUCAUAUGAAACAUGUCGAUCUUGUUUAUUGGGAAAAAUGACAAAAGCUCCAUUUACCGGUCAAGGUGAAAGGGCUAGUGAUCUUUUAGGUCUCAUACAUACUGAUGUGUGUGGACCCCUAAACAUAACUGCUAGAGGAGGCUUUCACUACUUCAUUACAUUCACUGAUGACUUUAGUAGAUUUGGAUAUGUGUAUCUAAUGAAACAUAAAUCUGAAUCAUUUACUUUCUUCAAAGAAUUUCAAAAUGAAGUAGAAAACCAACUAGGCAAGAAAAUCAAAAUGCUUCGAUCUGAUCGAGGUGGAGAAUAUUUGAGCUUAGAGUUUGACAAUCAUCUUAAAGAAUGUGGGAUACUGUCCCAACUCACACCUCCUGGAACACCGCAAUGGAACGGUGUGUCUGAAAGGAGAAAUCGAACCUUGUUAGACAUGGUCCGAUCUAUGAUGAGUCAUGCUGAACUUCCAAACUUCUUAUGGGGGUACGCCUUAUUAACUGCAGCUUACACACUUAACCGAGUUCAAUCUAAAGCGGUAGAAAAGACACCAUAUGAGAUAUGGAAUGGUCGAAAACCCAAUGUGGGACAUUUUAAGAUUUGGGGUUGUGAAGCUUAUAUAAAACGACUUAUGUCUACUAAGCUUGAACAAAAAUCUGAAAAAUGUUUCUUUGUGGGAUAUCCUAAAGAAACUAGGGGAUACUACUUUUACAAACCACCUGAAGGCACAAUUGUUGUUGCCAGAACUGGAGUCUUCCUUGAGAAGGAUUUUGUCUCCAGGAGAAUCAGUGGGAGCAAAGUAGAUCUUGAAGAAAUUCAAGACCCACAGAGUAAUGAAAUACCACAAGAGGAACAAGGACAGGAUACACAAACUGUUAUGACAGAAAAUCCUAUCCCAGUAACACAAGAACCACGUAGGUCUAGCAGGAUACGUCAAGAACCCGAAAGAUAUGGGUAUCUCAUAUCACAAGAGGGUGAUGUAUUGCUCAUGGACCAAGAUGAGCCUGUGACUUACACGGAGGCCAUUACUGGCCCCGAAUCUGAGAAGUGGCUUGAAGCCAUGAAAUCUGAAAUGGAUUCCAUGUACACAAAUCAAGUUUGGACCUUGAUUGAUGCACCUGAAGGAAUUAAUCCUAUAGGAUGCAAGUGGGUUUUCAAAAAGAAAAUUGACAUGGAUGGAAAGGUUAGUACCUACAAAGCGCGAUUGGUUGCUAAAGGCUUCAAACAAAUUCAUGGUGUAGACUAUGAUGAAACCUUUUCACCAGUUGCAAUGAUUAAAUCCAUUCGGAUCUUACUUGCUAUCGCAGCACACCAUGAUUAUGAAAUCUGGCAAAUGGAUGUCAAAACUGCUUUCCUUAAUGGAAAUCUUCUUGAGGAUGUGUACAUGACACAACCUGAAGCUUUUGGCGAUCCUAAAGCAACCAAAAAGGUAUGCAAGUUGCAGCGAUCAGUCUAUGGAUUGAAGCAAGCUUCUAGAAGUUGGAAUCUUCGCUUUGAUGAAACUGUGCAACAGUAUGGAUUCAUUAAAAAUGAAGAUGAGCCUUGUGUUUACAAGAAGGUUAGUGGGAGCAUAGUUUCAUUUCUGAUUUUAUAUGUGGAUGACAUAUUAUUAAUCGGAAAUGACAUCCCUACAUUACAAGCAAUCAAAACUUGGUUAGGGAAAUGCUUUUCUACGAAAGACUUAGGUGAAGCCGCCUAUAUAUUAGGAAUCAGGAUCUAUAGAGAUAGAUCACAAAGAUUGCUUGGCUUAAGUCAGGGUACAUAUAUAGACAAAGUCCUGAGACGUUUCAAUAUGCAUGAUUCCAAGAACGGAUUCAUUCCUAUGUCGUCAGGAAUAAAUCUAUCAAAGACUCAAUUCCCUUCGACUAAUGACGAAAGGGAUCGAAUGCGUGAUAUUCCAUAUGCUUCGGCAAUUGGUUCUAUCAUGUAUGCUAUGAUAUGUACUCGACCAGAUGUCUCGUAUGCUUUAAGUGCUACGAGCAGAUACCAGUCUAAUCCUGGCAACGAUCAUUGGAUUGCUGUCAAGAAUAUCCUUAAGUACUUGAGAAGAACUAAGGAUACCUUCUUGAUCUAUGGAGGUCAAGAAGAGCUCUCUGUAAUUGGUUACACUAAUGCUAGUUUUCAGACCGAUCAUGAUGACUUUAGAUCGCAAUCUGGAUAUGUGUUUUGCUUAAAUGGCGGUGCUGUGAGCUGGAAAAGUUCAAAGCAAGAAACAGUCGCUGAUUCUACAACUGAAGCCGAGUAUAUUGCUGCAUCCAAUGCCGCAAAAGAAGCUGUUUGGAUUAAGAAAUUCAUUUCUGAUCUUGGAAUAGUUCCAAGUAUUGUGGAUCCCAUUGCAUUACUAUGUGAUAACAAUGGUGCAAUCGCACAAGCCAAAGAACCUAGAUCUCACCAGAAAUCCAAACACAUACAAAGGCGUUAUCAUCUUAUUCGAGAGAUUAUCGAAAGAGGAGAUGUUAAAAUAUGCAAAGUACCAACAUUUGACAAUGUCGCUGAUCCACUUACUAAAGCUCUUGCCCAGCAGAAGCAUGAUGGUCAAACUAGAUCUAUGGGUAUUAGGUUUAUGCCUAAUUGGCUCUAGUGCUAGUGGGAGAUUGUUGGUGUAAGCCCUAGAGGCCAAUAGUUUAUGUUAAAUCUAUCUUAUGUAUCAUGACUUUUAUUAUUGAAUAAUAUAUGGCACUCUUUAUUACAUUUAGAUAAUGUUAAUAAAGUCCUUAGAAUAGAUAGUUCGUGUAAUAAUAUAUUAAGUGUGACUUAAUCAUGAGAUUACAUUAUCUUAUAGAACGCUAUUCUUAAAUGUAUCCGUAGUCAAAGCUUUAAUAUGAAUAAAGGAUAAUAAUAAAGCGUCGAGACUAUUAUGUAUGUAGACUGAUGAUCGCAUCUCAUGGGUCAUAGAUAUGAGAUAUUAAGUCUAUACAUAGAUAUAAAUAUUAGAAGUAAUAUUUAUAUUGGAUUCACCCACUGUGAGAAUACUACAUAGUAAGUUAUGAAAUUGUCAUAAGAUAUUCUCACAAUGAUAAUAAUGUAUAUUGCUCUUAGACCUGAAACCACUAUGAUCUCUAGAUGUGGACUCAAGUGCUUUGUUGCCAUUCUAACGUUGUCUGUAAAAGGAUAACAAUAACGUUGGUUGAUGGGUACUUGAUGAAUCAUGCUGAGGGGCAUGAGUGUUCUAGAUGGGAUUUGUCCCUCCUCAUAAACAGGAGAUAUAUCUUUAGGCCUCUUGAUGAAAUAUGACUAUAAAUAUGCAUGGCCAUGCCGAACUAAGUCAAUAUAAGAUAUUGGACUUAUUCGUUAAAUAGUAUAUUUCGGAAUCAAGAUAAAUAAACAUUGAUCUAUACAAGGGUGACACUAACUAUGCCUUGAGAUCAAUGAAGAUAUUGAGACAAAGGAGUAAUUAUACACAUAUGUGUUAUCAUGAAAGGUUUCGUCAGAUCACUUGACAUUCUUGUCACUUGGGUAGCAAUGAUGUGUUGCUAGAUACCGCUCAUUGUUUAUGGUAUUAGAUAUUAGAUUUAAUAUCAUUGCCAACGUGACUAGAACCUAAAGGGUCACACACAAAGAACAGUCAAAAGAGAUAUAUAUAAGUACGACUUAUAUAAAGGGUGCGCUUAGUAAAUAAUGCUAAUGAUUUAGCAAAAUUUGCUAAACUCGUAUUGGGCUUAGUGAAGUCAAAAACGAGUUUGACUUGCAAAGCACAUAGGGAGUUCUAUAAAUAGAAACCUAGUGCAAUAGUUUGCGGUUACGUUUUUCCUUGCAGAAACCCUAGUUCUCUGACUUCCGUCUUCUUGGCUAGCACCGAGGUUUUGGAGGAGCACUGUUCGUGUGGACUCAAUAGAGGCUCUGCUGUUUGCUUGGCUGUGAUCGAGAUUCCAGUUCGCAGAUUCCACCGAUCGUUUUCAGACUUUCAUUCUAAGGUAACAAUCGAAUCACUGGUUCAAGUUUCAAUUCGUAAUGAUCCAAGGAAAGUAAAUCGAAAUUUUAUUCCGCUGCUUAUUCUGUUAAUGUCGAUUUACCUUCAUGGUGUAGGAUGUGCAUUGAAGUCUAAGAAGCUGACUCCAAAGUUCAUUGGUCCGUAUCAGAUAUCAGAGAGGGUUGGAACAGUGGCAUACAGAGUGGGUUUGCCACCACAUCUUUCGAAUUUGCAUGAUGUGUUUCAUGUGUUCCAAGAGAUGAUGUGCAAGUUAGAGACAACCUUACAGUUGAGAAUUGAAGACCGUGAGGUGAAGAAGUUGAGAGGCAAGGAUAUACCUCUCGUGAAGGUUGUUUGGGGUGGAGUAACCGGUGAAAGUUUGACUUGGGAGCUGGAGAGUAAGAUGCGGGAGUCGUAUCCAAAGUUGUUUUCUUGAGGUAAUAUUUCGAGGAGGAAAUUCUCUAAGUUGGAGAGAGUUGUAACGCCCUAGUCGUUGUUUUAUUUAUUUUUGAUUUAUUUAGAGUCUUUUAUAUGAUUUUUAAUAAUAUUAGUGGUUUAUGUGGUGUGUUAUAUUUUAUUAUAUAGUUUAUUUUAAUAUUAAUUAGAAUAAUUUAAGAAUUAUUAUUAUUUUGGAGGUUGGGGAGUUAAUUAGGAAUUAAUAGAAGGGUUAAUAGUGUUUUACCCCCCUGUAAUAUAUGUCAUUUCCGGUUUUCCCCCCUGUAAAAUUUUUUGUUUAGUUUUCGUCCUUAUAAUUUAAAGAUUUUUUGGUUUUGGACCUUCGUGACAAAUUUCGCUCCCCGUAAAAUUUUCAAAUUUCGAUUUACCCCCCUGUAAUUUGAGAAAGUUUCGAUUUACCCCCUUGCUAAUUUGAGCAAAUUUCGGUUUACUCCCCUGCCAUAUCAUCUAUUUUGUACAGUCAAAAUUCAUGAAGGUCCAAAACCAGAAAUCUUCAAAUUACAAGGAUGAAAACUAAACAAAAAAUUUUACAGGGGGAAUACCGGAAAUGACCAAUAUUACAGGGGGGUAAAGCACUAUUAACCCUUAAUAGAAUUAAGGGGAGUUUAAUGAAAUAAAGGAAAGUUAUAUUUUGGGGAGUUAGGAAAAGAGAAGUCAGAAACGUUUUCACGUGAAAGCAGAACUUUUGGGAGAAAAGGGAGAAGAGUAAGUAGAGCCAAGCGAAUCCGAUCGUUGUGCAUUUUUCUUCUGGAUUAAGGUAAGGGUGAGGUUUGCUUCAAUAGUGUAGUUAUUGAAUUCUGAUUUUGGGUUUAACAAGUUUUGGUAGGAAUUGGGAAUUUUAGGUUUAUGAUGAAUUAUUGAGGUUUGGGUGUAGAGAUUGUUGUUUUGAUGUUAGAAUUAGGUUCUGGUUGCAUACAGCACUUAGUUUUGCAUCUGUAAACUAAUUUGGGGAGUGAAUUGGAGGAAAUGCGAUUUUUGGGGAAAAACCUGCAUUCUGCCCGUGCUGACAUUCAUCGCUCGCCCUGGCGAGUAGCUCGUCUCGCCUCGCGAGUGAGCAAUCUUCAUAGCCCGCCUCGCGAGCAGAACCCCUCACCAUGGCGAGCAAGUGCCUGAGAGAUCAUGAUUUUUGAAUUGUUGUUAUAAGCCGUAUUUUGGUUAGUUUUGAGUGCCUAAAUGAUUUUAGAGAGGACUGGGUCAAUUUUCAGAUUAAAAAGAUGAAUAGGGAGCUUAAAAAUGAAGAUUUAGUGAGAAAAAUGUCAAAACUCCCGAGAGCACCCUUUUUCUCAUUCGCCUUGAGUUCGCCACGGCGAGCAACCCAAUCCUUGAGUUCGCCAUAGCGAGUGGAUGUACUCGCGAGGCGAUUUGCCCAGAUUUUAAGUUGUUUAUUCUAUUGUGAAUGUUGUUGAAUGAUCUUGAUGUUUAAGCAUGAUUAUGAUUAAUUGUGCAUUUUUCUGGAAUUGUUGGAUUGAAUUAUACUGAUCUGUUGUUGACUGUGAUGUAUGCUUUUAUUUAAUUAAAUCAUACAUGUUGUUGAAUUGUGGGUUGUGAGUCAUAUACGUAUAUAUGCAUUUGUCAAGUUGUAUGUAGAUAUACACAAGUGGAGUCAAUUGCAUAAGCAUAUAAAGCGGGAGGGCUCUUUCCCUGGAACGCCUUUUCGUUCAAAGUGGGAGGACUCAUGUCCUGGAACACUUAUUGUUCAAAACGGUGAGGGCUUAUGCCCUGAUGAAUGCUUUAACCAUUCAAUAUUCGGUGAGAGCUACUGUAACGCCCUACUUCUAUUAAAGCAAUUAAACAUGCGAAUAAUACAUUUAUUCAAGAAAUAGAGGCUACGCCACAUUCAAAAUUCAAAAACCGAUAGACAUAUAUAUAAACCUCAACAGUCGCAGCGGAAUAUAAACCAGAAUAAAUUUAAAUAUACAUAUUAUGAAUCAAUAAAUUACAUCGACAUAGAUGCAUCAAAAAUCCCAACAAACGGGUCAUCUCCAAACAUAACAAAAACCAAAGUAAAAGAUAAUAUAGACCAACACAACUAAGCCUAGAUCAGAGCCGACUAAACAUCUAAACACCGAUAUCGGAGAAAGCUCCAGAUAUCCACCAAGCACAAGAACUCACCAAGCAACUAAACCUGCACAACGUCUACCCAUCCAUACAGAUAGGCAGGCGGUCCAUAACAAAUCCACUGGGGGUAAGUAUUACAUUAUCAUAAUCCAAAUAACAAUUAACAUGAAUAUUUCAAUUUAAACAUCAUGCACUUGAUCAAUAAUAAUAUUCUCAUAUCAAUACUUACAUCAAACCCCAAUAUCUCACAUCAAUAAUCACCAAUCACAUGUGUCAUGAACAAAUAUCAAUUCACAAUUAUUCAUACACAAUCACCAAUCAUAUACAUCAUGAACAAUCACCAAUCAUAUUUCAUGAACAAUCACCAAUCACAUGUAUCAUGAACAAAUAUCAAUUCACAAAUAUUCAUUCACAAUCACCAAUCACAAACAUCAUCAAUAAUCAUUCAUCUCAUUUCAUCACCAAUCACAUAUGUCACAUAAGACUCAUGUUAUGAUUUGCACUUAUUGACGCAUAAAUGCAUGUGGUACCAAAUCUCCAAAAAGGUCGUCACCCAUAUCCAGAUCUCAAAAGAUCCCUUCCAGGCCGAAGCCCUAUAACGAAUAAAACAUCGUAUCCAGAUCUCAAAAGAUCUCUGCUAGACCGAAGUCCAAAACUAGAUCUCAAAAGAUCUCUGCCAGGCCGAAGCCCUAUAACGAAUAAAAUAUCGUAUCUCAACACGACUAUGAUGCAUGGACAUGUAUAAGGACUCGAUAAUGCGACAACAAUUCACAAUCUCAACUCAAUAUAUAGGACAACACCCAAUUAUAUUGAUUAUCUCCACAACAUUGCAUUAUCAAGAAAACAUGCCCACACAAAUAAAUCAUAGUAUUCAUCAUCACACAUCAACAUGAUUAUCAAUAAUCAACAAUGUCAUUCAACAUCAACUAUCACAUAUAGUUUCACCAUUUCAACCAUUCUCAUAUUCCAAGUAAUAGGGAAAACAACAUAUCAUGAUAAAUAUCAUAUCCAACAUAUAACCAUUCAUAAUCAACUAUCACAUAUAGUUUCACCAUUCAAGCAUUCCUUACAUUCUAAGUAAGAUAACAUACAACAUCUCUUGAUAAACAUCAUAUCCAAUACAAUCACUCAUUCAUACAACUUCACUUAGCCAUACAAGAAUAAUCUCAAUAACUCACAAGACAAUUUGCUAAAGAAACAUUUCCGACAAAAAUCCAAAUCAUAUGGCAAACGGCCAACAUUGAUAAUUUUUAAAGCUAGGCAACUUAUUUAAGUUUGAAAUCCUACAAUUCAAUCUUAAUCAAUCAUGUAGUCAAGGACUUAAGCCACUUGCAAACUAUUAGAAAUUAGUUCAAAGGAUAGCUUAAGUUCGUAUGAGAAAUUCCAAGACAAAACAACAUUUAGCUGAAAACCCGUUUUCACCGAUUCAACUUUGCCCAAAAUAUUUCUUAAACCAUCAACACAUUCACAUUCCCAAUAUCAAGUUUGGAAAAGUUCCACGGCUCAUAGAAAAAGUUAUGAUAAGUUUUCACAAAACUCCACAUGACCCAUGUGUAGUAAUUUAAUCAUAACUCAAGUUCUAAAAAUCAUUUGGACCUCAAAUCAACGCCAUUAGAAAGCUAACAAAAUUAUCUAAAACUUUCAUGUUUACAUCAAAAUCCAAUUCAAAGCGGAAAGGGGUGAAAAAUAGCAAAAUAUGCAGGAUCUGGUUCGCAGAAAUCGUGUCACGAUUUUACGUCCAGAAACACUGAAUUUUCGGCCAACAAAAUCGUGACACGCUUGCCAAAUUGUGACACGUUUUGCCAGCAUCAGGUCCAGAAAUCAGUUCUUCAAAAAGUGCGUUUUUCACCAUUUCGCGCGUAAAAUCCAAACCGUUAAUCAAAUUUUGAUACCGUUUUCGCCUACACGCUCUUGACACUUGACUCUAACAUAAUCUACAAAAAUUUCAUGUUUCAACCAUCCCAAAAGUCAUUUUCCAAAACCUCACAUAAUCACUUAUUGGCGAAAACGCUUAAACAUCGACAUUUCACUCGAAAAACCCGUUUUCUUCCAAACGACUCAACUAACAUAACCACAACAUGAAAACAGAAAAUCUCAUAGGUUCAAUUCAUCCAACAAUAACAAAAUUUCAGUCAACAACCAUAUAUAUAUCAAAGUUCACUUUGGUCCUUCACAUGAACACUUAACUCAACUUCACCAAUUUCACAAAACCACCAACAACAAUUUAUUUCUCAUCAUCAAUUCACAAUUAAGUAUAUCCAAAUCAUGAUUCACUCACAAUAGCAUUAUUUAACAAUAACCACAUCAAUGGAAUAUGAAUCACAUCUCAUUUCAAUCAAAACAUAUCAAAUUUCAUCAAUUAAGCAUAAUUUCAUAACUUAACAUUUAUACAUACUUUGAAACAUGUAAUUUCACCCACAAACAUACCAUAAUCAUCAAUUCAUGCACAAGAAAAUAGCAUCACAGCAAGAGCACGAAUUUAGCAACAAUUGUUCAUCAACCCAUUUUCAUACAACAUGAGAAAAUGCAAAAAUUGUACAUGAUUAUGAUAAUAACUAACCCCCUUACCUUGAAGAAGAUUAACCCUAAUUCUUGCUUCAAUUCAGCUCCUAGCUUACCCCAAUUGAUUCCUCAAGCUAUUCUCUUCAAAACCCUUGUUCUUCUCUUCACCUCUUUCUCUCUCUACCUCUCUCUCUAGGAAAAUAUUUUGUGAAGUGAAUGAAUGAUAUUUUCUAUGACAAUCCUAAUGUUAUCUCCCUUAAUGGGCUCAAUUCCAAAUUCUAAUGGGCCUAACCCAUUCUAACAUAAUUCUAAAAAGUUUCUAUACACUCAACGGUAAUUACUAACAACGGUAAAAUAUAACCAACGGUCACUAACGGUAAAAACUAAUCACUACACUAGUAACUUAGUAAAAUAAGGGUUCUCACUAAUUAUUAAAAUAAUUCUCACCAAAAUUACCAUUUUACACUUACCCGCCAAAUGACCAAAAUACCCUUAUAUUACGGUAAUCCAUGUAAAUGCACCCAAUGACAAUUAAAUACACACAAGCACAAUUAAUCACACACAAUUACACAAUAAAAGUAAUUAAAAGAAAACUAGCUAAAAAUUGGGCUGUUACAACUGCCCUGUAAAUUGGUACCACAUGCAUGUGCAUUGUCGAGGAGUCUUAGUGGUGUUGUCGAGUAGUUGCAUGAGUCAUGUUAUUGGUUGUGAUUACCAUUGUUGUUGAUGUUGCUGUUUAUGAAGUAUAUGUUCAUAAUGAAUAACUAUUAUUAUGUUAGGGUGUUAGAUUCAAUUGAUGAAUUUUGUAUCUAUAUUUAUUGUUGUGAAUCUCACCCCUUCUGCUUGAAAACGUUGCCCUUCCUAUGGGUAACUUGCAGGUGAUCCUAAGUAGUAGGUGUUGGCUCAAUGUCUAGGGCUCUGAUACGUACGGGAUGAGAUUUAUUUGCUUAUUUUCAUUCCUAUGUAUCAAAUUUUGGAACAUGUUGAUGUAGCCCUUUGUUUGGUUGUUGAAGUAAUUGAUGAGGCUUUUAUGCCAAGAUUAUUUAUUGGAGAAUUAAUAUGUUGGAUGUUGUUGUUAUUUAAAUGAAAAUAUUCCGCUGCAAGGUUUUGGUAAAACUAUUAAGUUGUUGUUUUAUUAAAUAGUUUUAUAUUCUAUUUAAGAAAUUUUGAAAAGUAGUGUGACAUGUCCGUUUGGGAUAUACUCUGAUGUAUGUUUAUUUAUUAUUUAAUUGCUUUGGGAUAACAGGGUGUUACAGCAUCUGCAUAUACACAUCAUAGGCCAAUCCCAACUAAUUCCAAAAUUCACCUAAGUUCGUCUCGCUUUAUCAUUUUUCAAAAGAAUUGAAUUUUUUAAAGCAAAACCAAUUUAAAGCUCAUGAAUGUCAUUCAAAUCUAUUUUAUAAAGCAUGGUUAUAAUAAACAUCCUUACCUAUCCUUUUCCCUUAAGAAAAACGAGUUUCGGAAAAUUAUGUGUUCUAAGCAUUUUUCAAAAAGUUUGAUUUGAUUUACAAAACAUAGUUCAAUUCAAUCCAUUUAAUGAAUUAUCAGAUUACUAAUUCACUAUAAAUACAAGAUAGCAUGGAUACCUAGGGAGAUAAAAUUUCAAAGAAACGGCGCCACAAUCUUUUUGCAAUUUUCAAAGAUAGCGCAUCUCAACACAUUUAUAAGGGUUUUAUCAGAGGAAGGGUUUGAUCAGCCCACUUCAAAUUGAUAAGCCCACUUCAUUAAGACUCCUAUAAAGCCUCGUACUUUGACUAUUACUUUUCUCACCAUAUGUGUUUCUCACACGCCCUAUUUUUUUCAAAAAAUAACACUCGGAUAUUAAAAUCCAAAAUGUGUUUUACCUUUGAUUUGGGGUGGGAUGGGCGUGGGAAAAAUGAGUUUUUCAUAAAUUUGGAUUCUAUAAUCCGAAAAUCUAAAAAAAAAAUUGGGUGUGUUCCUUUCUUUUUUCUAAAGCUCCUUGUAACAUGGAUAACCACUUAUAAAAUCUGAAAUCUCAUGGGUAAAUUUGUAAAAAAAAAAAACAAAAAAAAAAAAGGCCUGCGAGAAGGUAAAUUUAUAUUUUUUUAAAAAAUAAAUAUUGUUUAUUGGAAGAAAAGUGUUUCUUUCAGAAUUUCUUUUAAGAAAAUAAAUUUGUUUGGAGCAAAAUAAUAUUUUUUUUAGUGAGUAUAUGCAUUUUUUUGUUGAGAAAAAAUUUUCCACUAGAUUUUUUUUAGGGAUAAGAGGAUAUAUAUAUAUAUAUAUUAAACAUUUAUAACUUGGAUUCAUCGGAUAAAGUUUGUUCUACUAAGGAACUUGGUGGCUUGGGGGUUAGAAAGCUUAUGGAGUUUAAUGUGGUAUUGGAGGUUGUAUGUUCAUCAGGGUGGGUUGUGGUUGAAGGUCGUGUCCGCUAAAUAUGGGGUUGAAGAGAGUCUUGUUUGGAGGCAAGCGAGACAUAUGUUAGUUUGGUGGAAUGAUUUGUGUCUUAUUAAUGAGGGAGUGGAAGGUGGUGAGGAGAGUUGGUUUAAGGAAAGGGUGGAGCGCUUAGCUGGCAAUGGGGAAAUCGCAUCCUUUUGGUGUGAUCCUUGGUUUAAUGAUAGGUGCUUACGGUUUAGAUUUAGGCGGUAGUUUGAUUUAAGUGUUAAUAGUAGUGUUACUAUAUCCGAGAUGCAGAGGCAAGGCCGGGGGGUUGAUGGGCAAGGGUGGGCGUGGUGGAGAAAGAGUUUGUUUGCUUGGGAAGGAAGAACAGUUGCACUAGUACUGUAUUUGUCUUUUAGAUAACAUUGUUUGCAUGCAAUGGAUACAUGGUUUUGGUAUCAUAAUACAUAUGAGAGGUAUACUGUAAAAGGUGCUUAUCAGAUCAUUACACAGACCCAGCAGCCUCAUCAUGAUAUUCAUGUAAAUUUAAUCUGGAACACAGAUAUGCCUCUGAAAGUUUCAUUAUUUGCUUCGAGAAUUUUUAAUAAAAGGAUUUCAACAAAGAGUAAUUUAUUUUGUCGUGGAGGGUUGCCUGUAGGAUCGUUGGUAUGUUUUGGAGGUUGUGGGAAGGAGGAAUAUCGUAAUCACCUUUUUCUUGGUUGUGAUUUCUUCGGUAGUAUUGGCAUUGUGUUCUUAGACGGUUGGGAAUCUCCCACUACAAGAAUUUUGGUUAUUAUUGGUAGAAUUAAUCCCUAGUAAUGAAAGAAAUACCUCAGUAAUAAUGGCAUCAGUAAUGUUACUGGCGGAAUUUUCCCUCAGUAAUAGAAAGGUAGUUCUGACAAAGCAUUACUGAGGGAUUGUUCCGCCAGUAAUUACCAAGGGAAUAAUCCCUCAGUAAUGCAGUAUCAGAUUUGUCAUAUUAUUACUAACGGAUUUAUCCCCCAGUAAUGUUAAUCAAAUUUGCAUUAUUGACGGAAAUUUCCGUCAGUAAUGUACUUCACCCUUUUUUUAUUAUCCCUUCCCACCUUUUGAUUUUAAUUAGAGAAAUAAAAUUAAAUAAACACAAAUAAAUUUAAGAAAUAAUUUUUUUUAUUUAAUAAGAUAAAUUAAUUAAACCACAUAUCAUUAUAAUAUCUGUACAAUAGAUAAAUAAUUUUCAUACAAAAUCAUAAAUAUUUUAGCUUAAUCUUUAAACUACAUCAACUUCAUCAUUUAUAAAGUAUAAUCAUACAUGCAACUUCGCUCAUCUCACAUGAAGCAUAUACUUCACAUAACGCACGUAAUUCAUCUAAUUCACAUCAAUCAUAUGGAUCAUAUAAACUCUUGCCUAAUUAACUCAACAAAUAUAAUUUAUCAUUUCAAAGUAUUGGCAAGGAAAUCAUCAUCAUCAAAAUCAAAGGAGGCACCAAAUUAACACACAUGAUUCAUACUUCAUUACUAUCACCCAAAGCAACUAUCAUAAAGUAAAAUUACAAAGCGUACAAGCAUCACCAAAGAUAACAAACAUCUUCAUGUGCACAUCUCUACACAAUUCACAUUAUUCACCGAUCACAUAAAUCACCAAAUUCAUAUAAUUCACCAAUCACAAUUCAUAUAAUUCACCAAGUUUCACCAAUGCACAUAAUCACCAAAUCACAAAGUCAAGUAUGACAUAAUUUCAACAAACAUCAAAUGCAUGGAAUUUUCUAGACUCUUGUCUAGAUGCAUGUGGUAUCAUUAGGAUUUCAGAGAUAAUUUUACCGUAUUGAAUCCACUAUGCAAACCCCUCCGACUACGUAUAAACAUAACUCCCUCCGGUUAUGUUCCCACCAAGACUCGAUAUGACAAUGAAUGCAUGGACAUGUAAGCAAAGACCCGACAAUGUUAUAAAUUACAACAUUAUAUUAUAUAACCCCUCCAUCAUAUAAUAUUCCCACCAAGAACCCACCAUUGCAUCAUAAAGUAUUUACAUUCAUACAUUUCAACAAGACAUAUUCACAAGAGCCAUAAAUAUAUUCCACAUCAACAUUCAUUCACCAUAAGUAAAACACAAUCAUCUCAUAAAUCACAAUUUCACAUCAAAGGCGUCAUAUAGUCAAAUCUUGAUAAACAACAUAUCAAACACCUAAUAACCAUUGAUUCAUUCUUUUUCCAUCAUAUCAUCAUGAAUAAAAAGUCAAUUAUAAGUCAUUCAACCAUAAAACACCAUUUUUACAAAGUUCGUCUAUUUUCUUAACUUUCAAUAUUUUCUAAGUAAUUCAACAAAAUAAGGUAAACAUAUUCAAACACCUCAACAAAGCAUAUAUACUACUCACAUAUGAUCACAAUAGCAUCUGCAUAUACGCAUCAUAGGCCAAUUCCAACUAAUUCCAAAAUUCACCUAAGUUCGUCCCACUUUAUCAUUUUUCAAAAGAAUUGAAUUUUUCAAAGCAAAACCAAUUUAAAGCUAAUGAAUGUCAUUCAAAUCUAUUUUAUAAAGCAUGGUUAUAAUAAACAUCCUUAACCCUAUCAUUUUCCCUUAAGAAAAACGAGUUUCGAAAAAUUAUGCGUUCUGAGCAUUUUUCAAAAAGUUUGAUUUGAUUUACAAAACAUAGUUCAAUUCAAUCCAUUUAAUGAAUUAUCAGAUUACUAAUUCUCUAUAAAUGCAAGAUAGCAUGGAUACCUAGGGAGAUAAAAUUUCAAAGAAACGGCGACACAAUCUUUUUGCAAUUUUCAAAGUGAGCGCAUCUUAACACAUUUAUAAGGGUUUUAUCAGAGGAAGGGUUUGAUCAGCCCACUUCAAAUUGAUAAGCCCACUUCAUUAAGACUCCUAUAAAGCCCCGUAGUGUUACUAUAUUCGAGAUGCAGAGGCAAGGCCGGGGGGUUGAUAGGCAAGGGUGGGCGUGGUGGAGAAAGAGUUUGUUUGCUUUGGAAGGAAGAACAGUUGCACUAGUACUGUAUUUGUCUUUUAGAUAACAUUGCUUUGCAUGCAACGGAUACAUGGGUUUGGUAUCAUAAUACAUAUGAGGGGUAUACUGUAAAAGGUGCUUAUCAGAUCAUUGCACAGACCCAGCAGCCUCAUCAUGAUAUUCAUGUAGAUUUAAUCUGGAACACAAAUGUGCCUCUGAAAGUUUCAUUAUUUGCUUGGAGAAUUUUUAAUAAAAGGAUUUCAACAAAGAAUAAUUUAUUUUGUCGUGGAGUGUUGCAGGAUCGUUGGUAUAUUUUGGAGGUUGUGGGAAGGAGGAAUAUAUUAAACACCUUUUGCUUGGUAGUGAUUUCUUCGACAGUAUUACAUUGUGUUCUUAGAUGGUCGGUAAUCUCCCACUAUAAGAAUUUUGGCUAUUAUUGGCAGAAUUAAUCUCUCGGUAAUGAAAGAAAUCCCUCAGUAAUACUGGCGUCAGUAAAGUCACUGGCGAAAUUUUUCAUUAGUAAUAGAAAGGUAGUUCUGACAAAGCAGUACUGAGGGAUUAUUCCCUCAGUAAUUACUGAGGGAUUGUUCCACCAGUAAUUACCGAGGGAAUAAUCCCUCAGUAAUCAGAUUUGUCAUAUUAUUACUAACGGAUUUAUUCCCCUGAUAAUGUCAUCGAAUCUGCAUUAUUGACGGAAAUUUCCGCCAGUAAUGUACUUCACCCUUUUUUUAUUAUCCCUUCCCACCUUUUGAUUUUAAUUAGAGAAAUAAAAUUAAAUAAAUUAAAGAAAUAAUUUUUUUUAUUUAAUAAGGUAAAUUAAUUAAACCACAUAUCAUUAUAAUAUUUGUACAAUAGAUAAAUAAUUUUCAUACAAAAUCAUAAAUAUUUUAAUAAUAUUCUUACAAUCUAGAAAACUAAGAAAAAAACUAAUUAUCAUAAUAUUUGGAUAAGUUUGAUCUUGAUCUCCCUCCCGAUGAUCUUUUGCUCCUAUUUUCUCCUCUCCCCGUAUUUUGGGAAUUUUCUUGCGAAGCCUCAUCCAUAUAAUUAUUAAAGUAUUCAUAUAAUUAUCCUGCUACCUUUGAAAAGCUUCAACAAAUGCCUAUAAUAUGAUAUGAUAUAUAAUUUCGUAAGAAUAAAGACUACAUUAAUAGAUGAAAUUAACGAGUAGAAAAAUAAAAUAACGAAAAAUUCCUUCAUUAUAUAGCUUAAAGAAAUAUUGAUCUGUAACAAGAGUUCAUAUUUGUUCAUCUUUAUACGCCUUUGUGGUCCAUACCAGUACACAAUCAUGGUUCAGAAAGUAAUUUCUUAAUAUCAUAUGAGUUCAUAUUUGUUCAUCUAUACAAUAGACAAGGAGUAAGAGUAUUCGGAAGGGGUUACAGUUAAUUCUAACAUGAACACAUAAUCCAAAAGAAGUAUGAACAAGCAUAGACACAGUAAAUUUUAUUAAUUUUUAAACACAUUGUUGAGAAAACUCUAAAUGAACUUGAGAUUUAGUGGUUCACUAAGCAAGUUUACACCCAUGAAUAGGUCAUGUUUUACAAUCCUGUUUGAUCAUAUCACUAACUUCUACCUUUCCUAGUAGUAACACUAUUUUAUUGUAUCGUCUUACAUCAAAACCUACAAUGACAACCCCAAUUCUACUACAUAUAUGUCAACACCAAAAAACCAAGAUUUGGAAUCUCAAAAUCUUACAUCUACGACGGGUAAAUACACAAGGGAACCGAAAACCAAGAUUUGCUUUAUCCGGUAUCAAUCGUGAGCUACGAGCAAAUAGAACUCCUUUUAGGAGUAUCAAUACCGUCACGUGAAUUGUAAAUGCAUGAAUAUGAUGUACCAAAAAAUCUGCAGUUCCUAAUGGAAUAGGUAACAAAGCUACUUUGCCGCCCACUGCCACUAAAUCACCACCGCCCCAAGUCAAACUGGUGCUUGCUGUUGCACCAGGGGCCGUUGUACCAGGUGCUAAAGCGUGGGUAUUUUGUAUCCAUUGAGCAAAGACUGGUUGUAAUUGUAUAGCGGUAUCAGAAAACAUAUCUUGAGGGCGCCCUAAAGCACUCAUGGUAUCAUUAUGAAUAUACAAACCAAAACUGUGAAAGCCUAAAAAUAUACACACCCAGUUGAGAUGUGAUAUGAUUGCAUCGCGAUGUCUAAGAAUACGAUCUAAUAGAUCGUUGUAUCGAGUAGUUGGAUCAUAGUCUCUUACCAUAAAAAUGGCUGCAUGUGCAGCAGCACCAACUAUGAGAAAUCCCCCAAUCCACAUGUGAUGUGUGAACAAUGACAGUUGUGUCCCAUAGUCAGUAGCUAGGUAUGGAUAAGGAGGCAUAGCAUACAUAUGGUGAGCUACAAUAAUGGUCAAAGAGCCUAACAUAGCUAGGUUAAUAGAUAAUUGAGCAUGCCAUGACGUUGUUAGGAUCUCAUAUAGACCUUUAUGACCUUGGCCUGUAAAUGGACCUUUAUGGGCCUCUAAAAUAUCUCUUAUACCAUGACCAAUACCCCAAUUAGUUCUAUACAUAUGACCGGCAAUGAGAAAAAGAAUUGCAAUAGCUAAAUGAUGAUGUGCAAUAUCGGUCAGCCAUAGACCCCCAGUUAGUGGAUCUAAUCCUCCACGAAAAGUUAGAAAGUCCGCGUAUUUUGACCAAUUCAAGGUAAAAAAUGGGGUUGCUCCUUCGGCAAAACUUGGAUAAAGUUGAGCCAAAAGAUCCCGAUUCAAGAUAAAUUCAUGAGGAAGUGGGAUCUCUUUGGGAUCUACUCCAGCAUUUAGAAAUUGGUUAAUUGGUAAAGAUACAUGUACUUGAUGCCCCGCCCAAGAAAGAGACCCAAGUCCUAGUAGCCCUGCCAAAUGGUGAUUCAACAUGGAUUCUACAUCUUGGAACCAAGCCAAUUUUGGAGCAGCUUUGUGAUAAUGAAACCAACCAGCAAAAAGCAUUAAGGCUGCAAAGACCAAUGCACCAAUUGCAGUACAAUAGAGUUGUAAUUCAUUAGUUAUUCCAGAUGCUCGCCAAAUCUGAAAAAAACCAGAAGUUAUUUGUAUUCCGCAGAAACCUCCGCCUACAUCACCAUUCAAUAUUUCUUGGCCUACUAUUGGCCAAACCACCUGGGCACUAGGUCGAAUGUGAGUAGGAUCAUUUAGCCAUGCUUCAUAAUUGGAAAAACGAGCACCAUGGAAAUACAUGCCACUCAGCCAAAGAAAGAUAAUGGAGAGUUGGCCGAAAUGAGCACUAAAUACUUUUCGGGAAAUCUCCUCUAAAUCACUAGUAUGGCUAUCGAAAUCAUGAGCAUCAGCAUGUAGGUUCCAGAUCCAAGUAGUAGUAUCAGGUCCCUUAGCUAUUGUUCUUGAGAAAUGACCAGGCUUUGCCCAUUGCUCGAAAGAAGUUUUUAUGGGAUCCCUAUCUACCAAAAUUUUGACUUCUGGAUCUACCAAAAUUUUGACUUUUGGUUCCGGCGAACGAAUAAUCAUUGAGUCCUCCUCUUUCCGGACAACACAUACAAAGAGACCCGCCAACAUAAAACAUAAUUAGUGAACUUAUGAGAGAUGUUUAUAUUGAAUAACUUUCUCUUCUAUCUCCCAUCUAUUUAUUCUAUAUUUUCUUUAGUUAUUCACUAGAACAAUUAUGAUCCGGAAGUUAAUCCGGGGCAAGUGUUCGGAUCUAUUAUGACAUAGUAGUAAGGCGCUCAACGGACCCUUUUUUUUAAUUCUAAAACCUUUUCUGAACUUUGAAUUUAAUGAAGUUAAAGAAUUUUUUGUGCAACCUAGUCUAUUCAUAUUUCACUUAGAGAUUCCUAGAUGGAACAAAUGAAAUUUUUUGUCUUUCUUGCAUAUCUUACAGAGAAGAUAUUCUUAGGUACUUUAUUUCAAAUCACGUGAGCAGUUAUAUUAGCAUUACUAAGGAACAUAACGAAAUAUCAGAUGAAAUAGAACUAUUUUAGAAGGGAUAUAAGAAAAUCUUUUGAUUGUUUGUUGCUUUAUAUUUAGAAAAUGAAUGAUCCGUAUUCUCUUUAUAUUCUAUUCUCUAUAGAGAAUAGAAUAUAAAGAGAAUUAUAGAAAAAUUAUAGAAAAUAUAGAAUAUUAGAAUAAAAAAAAGAAAAUAAUAAACAGAGUGUUCUUAUUCAAAACGCCCUGUGAUCUUCAACCAAUUCUGUGCUUCAAUAUAAUUCCCAGGGGUAAGGGCUAUAGCUUGUUUCCAAUAUUCAGCGGCUUGAUCAAACCAAGAUUCCGCAAUUUCAGAAUCUCCCUGUCGAAUGGCCUGUUCUCAACAGUCAAUUCUUUUUAUCUUCCAUUUUUUCUGGAGUUAAGAACAAGAAAAGAGGUUAAUUACAUGAGUUUCAAACUUGAAUUUGGAUUACGAAUUUAAUCCUUUGUUUUUAGUUUUAUCUUUUUUCCUACCUUCCGAAGAAUAAAGUAUCGACAUUAACACUAAUGCUCGUUCUUAUUGAAAUUUUCUGAAAGGUAACUAUCUCGAUUUCAUAUAUCAUAUACUUUCAUAUAUGAUAUAUCAAUUUCUAUAGAAUCUUUGAGAAAGACUUUUCUUCAUAAGAAAAGACUUACUAUCUUUGGGAUCUGAUACUACACCGCUGCUCACAACCUUAGGGGAUCCACUUUAUUACAUAAGUAGAUUCCUAAUCUAUCAUCAUAUAAGUAAGCAGUUCUUGUUGUAUCGGCCAAAAACCUUGUUAAUUGAUCUUUACGGUGCUUCCUCUAUCAAUUAGAUCUUUUAUCCAUAGAAAAAAAGUAUCUAGGCGUAUAUAUUCUAUUUCUUCAUAUUUUGACUUCUAUGAAGUUUCUUUCUUUGCUACAGCUCAUAAAAAUCGUUGUUUCGAACGAUAUAUAUAUGUAGAAAGCCCAUUUUUUUUGUCUAGUAUUUAUUUUUUUAUUAGUAUUAGUGGAGUUGUUCGUUCUUUUCUUUUUUUCUAUAGUGGAGAUAGUCGCACGUAAUGACAGAUCACGGCCAUAUUGUUAAAAGCUUGAGGUAAGAAAGGGUUUCGUUCGAGUGCCCUAAAAUAGUAUUCCAAAGCUUUCGUAUGUUCUCCGUUACUUGUGUGUAUAAGGCCUAUGUUAUAAAGUAUAUAACUUCGAUCAUAGGGAUCAAUUUCCAGUCGCAUAGCCUCAUAAUAAUUUUGUAAAGCUUCCGCAUAAUUUCCUUCAGAUUGAGCCGACAUCCGUUACGGUCGUCAUUCGGUUCAAAGAAUAUCCGUUCCAGAACCGUACGUGAGAUUUUCAUCUCAUACGGCUCCUCCUUUAUGUGUAUAAUGAUAAACAUCCAUGGAAUCAAAUCCAAAAAGAUUGCAAUAUUCUCAUUAUCAACUUAGCGGGACUAGUAUUUUUACACGAAAUCUCUAGCCAACCUUCCUGUAAAGGAUCUUUUAUUAACAUCAAGUAUGUUAUUACUGGAUAAAUAGUCACUUCAACAAUUUCUUUGUCCUCAACGCUGCUAAAUUUCCCGGAAUUAGUCACUUCAACAGUCUUCGAUGGUUAUAUGGGUAUCCAAAAUACGAACGAGAUGGAUGUUUAUUGUCCCAACCAUUCUAGUUAGUCCCGAUCCCCAUAAGAAAGGAAGGAUUUAUUUUUUUUUACAAAGUUUUCUAGUGUUGUUGAUUCCUAAGCGUAGUGCUUCUUCCCCCAUGCCGCCUAUUGGUACUAGUGGAGUAGGAUUAACCUAACCCCAUAGGUAUAGGUAUAACCUUUCGCUUAAUACUAUAAACCUAAAAUUGAAGCAUAUGAGGCUGCAUUAAUCGGAAAUACACGACAGAAGGGAUUAAUUGUUUUAUUUCCAAACUUCACCUUCAGCAAGCGUAGGUUUUUUUUUCAAAAUUUUUUUCUUUCUCUAGACUGAGAUCGGUAAAAAAAAAAAAAAAUAAUCAAAUCGCACCAUCUCUGUAAUAAGUGAAUGCCUCUUUUUCUCCAGAAGUUGUCGGAAUUAUUCGUAAUAAGAUAUUGGCUACAAUGGUAAAGGUCUUAUCAAUAAAAUUUCCAUUUAUCCGAGAUCUAGUCAUAGGUAGCAAUCCAUUCUAAAAUUUCAUUUUUUAUCGCGUGAUAAAAGAAUCCCCCAAACAAAGGAAUUGUACAAUACAGUACGAAAUAACGUAAAAAUGGACUUAUUAAUCAAAUAAUUUUAUCCUACGGCAGGCCUCGAAGUAAGUUUUUUUUUGUUCGUUUCAAUUGAUUAUGUGCGCCUACCCAAAUGGAAUAUCUAUGCCUCACUAUUCACUCGAGGGACAUAAUCAUUAUGUAGGAGAGAUGGCCGAGUGGUUGAAGGCGUAGCACUGGAACUGCUAUGUAGGCUUUUUGUUUACCGAGGGUUCGAAUCCCUCUCUUUCCGCACCCUUAUCAAGUUCAUCAAUGUUACUGACCUCAAUGUUUGCAAAUAGAUAUCAUUAUUCCAACUUUGAUGUGGAUUCUCUAUUCCUAAUUUAUUUCUGUUUUCUGUAAUAAAAAAAAUCGUGGAAUAAAGUGGGCAAGGAAUAACAAAUUUCCUAUACCCACCCACGUCUAUACAUGAAUGGGGGGAAAUCCUCGGAUCAAAAUUAUUCUUAUUUUAAUUAGGUUUAAGUCUGACGAGAAUAAUAUUCUACAACCAGCAAUUCAUUAAUUUUCAAACCAACCCAUUUACUAUCUAUUAUUUGAUUGACUAAUCCUUUAUAUUGGAAUGGAUCAAGAGUCAAAUGGAUUGGCAAUUUUUCGCGGGGGGCUGAUUCAAGAGAAUUUUGAAUCAGAGUUCUAGAUUUUUGUUCAUCCUUCGCUGUAAUAAUAUCUUCGGGUUUGCAACGAUAACUUGGUAUAUCUACUAUACGACCAUUAACUAAAACAUGUCUGUGGUUAACUAAUUGACGGGCUUGAGGAAUAGUCGAAGCCAUACCCAAUCGAAAAAGUAUGUUAUCCAAACGCAUUUCAAGUAAUUGUAGUAAAACUUGACCGGUUGAACCUUUCGCUUUUCCAGCGAUACGAACGUAUUUAAGCAAUUGUCGUUCUGUAAGACCAUAAUGAAAACGCAAUUUUUGUUUUUCUUCUAAACGAAUACGAUAUUGAGACUUUUUACUCGAGCGCGAUUGGUUUUUAAGUUCGCUUCCAACUGUAGGCCCUUUACUAGUUAGUCCUGGUAAAGCCCCCAGACGACGUAUUUUUUUGAAACGAGGCCCUCUGUAACGUGACAUAAACACUCCUUUUUAAUUUAAAAUGGAAAAUCUCAUAAAGCUAAAUUAAAACUAAACUAAAUAACAAAAAUGAUAAAUCAAACGAAAUCUACUUAAAGUAUUUUACUAUAAAUAGUAUACUACAAAAAAGAACUGGAAAGAUUCGAUCAGUAUCCGAAUUUUAUUCUAUUGUAUAUCUAUCUAAAUAAAUAGAAAAUAAAAAAAGGAGGUUAUUUUCUUGAUUUGUUCUAGAGAAAUAGAACUCCCAUUUUUUUCCUAAAAUAAAAAUAAAAAGAGAUUAUACCUUAUGUCAAAAAUGAAAACAAAUAGAGAAAAAAAGCCGGCUAUCGGAAUCGAACCGAUGACCAUCGCAUUACAAAUGCGAUGCUCUAACCUCUGAGCUAAGCGGGCUCUCAUAACACAAAUUGUGGAUUUAUCGGAAUUAUUUCCUAAACUACUGGGAUCUUAGUUAUUAAUUGUUUUAUAUUAGCUCUUCAUAACCAAAUUACUAUAUCAUAAUCAAAUAAAUACAAACAUAGAAAAAAUCGAAAAUAUCCAAUAGUUAUUAUUUAUUUGAUAUUUUAGUAUAUAUCAUAUCAUAAAAAUAAUAAUAAUUUUAAGAUAAGAAUUUUAAUUAAGAGUUAAUUAAUUAAUAGUUAAAUAGAAUACUAUUUUGAUCGAUUUAUCAAAUAAUUUUUAUCAAUAAAACAAUAUCGUCAUUUUAAUUCGUAUAGUCAAAUUCUCUUUUUUGUUUUGAAUAUUUUUGCUUCUUUAUUUCGAUUAUUUUAAUAUUUCAAGAAUAAAUAAUAAAUAGAAUUCAUAUUUUCAUCUAAUCUAUAUAAAUAUCUAAAUAUAGAUAUGUAUUUAUCCCGAUAUCCUGAUUAUUAGAUAGGAAGAUUAUUUGUUUCUAUAUAUAUUCUUUAUAUAUUCUUUAAUAUUCUACAAUUAGAAUACCUUAAAAUAAAAUUCUAUAUAAAAAUUCUAUAUAUAUAUAAAUAAAUAUAGAUAUAGAAAAUAGUAAAGAGUAUAUAGAAUACUAUCUUAAAAUUAAAAUUUAUAUUUUAAAUAGUUUUUUAGAAUUUUAAAUAAAAUAAUGACUAAUUAGAUUACAGUAAACAGUAAUUUAUAUUACAAAAUUCGUAUGCAUUAAGAUGAACUAUGUAUAAUGUAGAUAAAAAAGAAUGUAUCGAUAGAAAUUGGAUAAGUAAAUAGAAAUUUGAUAUUUCUAUUGAAUUUCUAAAUGAAUGUCAAAUUUUAAAUUAAUAAAUAGAUUUUUGAUUUUCGUUUUGUUAUUAUAAGGUCUGUAUCUGUCUCCUCUAAGCAAAAAAAGAAUCGAACGUUAGAGUAUUCUAAAUACUCUCAAAAAAUCAAAGAAGGAGGGACAUCUAAAAUAGAGAUAAAUGUAGUAUAUAUCUCUGUAUAUUGAAUUGCGAAUACACAGAUAAUAGAAUCAUUUCUGAUUCGACUAAAUAUGGGUAUCUGAUAUCAGAUAUAGAUGAAAGAAAAUCAAUCAAACAAAUAGAAGGAAAUUUUUCCAAAAAUGGGAGUAGGUUUCUAAUAAAUUGAACAGUUCCAUCAUAUAAUUCUCAUAAUACAAAUGAAAAAACAUCCUAAUGAGAUAUGAUAUCAAUCUCAAAUAAAAAAACGGGGGAUAUGGCGAAAUUGGUAGACGCUACGGACUUAAUUGGAUUGAGCCUUGGUAUGGAAACUUACCAGGUGAAAACUUUCAAAUUCAGAGAAACCCUGGAAUUAAAAAUGGGCAAUCCUGAGCCAAAUCCUUCUUUCCGAAAACAAAUAAAUAAAAGUUUAGAAAGUGAAAAUCAAAAAAGGAUAGGUGCAGAGACUCAAUGGAAGCUGUUCUAACAAAUGGAGUUGACAACAUUUACUCUUUCAAUAGAAUAAUCUUGAUUGAUCAAAUCAGUCACUCCACCAUAGUCUGAUGGAUCUUUUGAAUAACUGAUUAAUCAGACGAGAAUAAAGAUAGAGUCCCAUUCUACAUGUCAAUACCGACAUCAAUGAAAUUUUUAGUAAGAGGAAAAUCCGUCGACUUUAGAAAUCGUGAGGGUUCAAGUCCCUCUAUCCCCAAAAGCCCAUUUAAUUCGCUAAUUUUUUAUCCUAUAUCCCUUUUUUUUUUAUUUAGUUGACAUAGACUCAAGUAAUUUCCUAAAAUUAGGGUGGUGUGUCAAGAAUGGUCGGGAUAGCUCAGCUGGUAGAGCAGAGGACUGAAAAUCCUCGUGUCACCAGUUCAAAUCUGGUUCCCGGCGAUUCAUUUCUAUGAGUAUCUAUUCCCAAAUUUUAAUAAAUUUGGGAAUAGAUACAUAAUUUAUCUAGGCGUACGGAGAUAUACUCUUUCUAGCUAAAGAAUGAAUAGAUGUAUAUUCUAGGUAUAGAAAGUGAGUCUGAAAAUGAAUGAUUCCAUUUUGUUUCGAUUUUUUCUGCGCUCCAAAAAGAAUGUUAAUAUUUCAACAAUAUAAAAAAAUUCGGUCCAUUUCUUUUUAUUUUCUUUGAUCCUACUUUUUCUUUUUCGUAGCCGGAUAUCUAAUUGAUGUUGCUGUACAUCUUACAUAGUUAAUGAUACAGAACUUUUUCAGUUCAUCCUAUUGGCUCACCCUAAAUUAAGUAUCGUUCCAUCCAAUUUUAGAAUCUCAAUGAAUCCCUAUAUUAUUGUCUUUUUUAUUUAUCCAUUUUGUUAUUUAUCCCAUCCAUAAUAAGAUAUGAAUGAAACCUCUAUUAUUCUGUCCAAUCUAUAACAAAAAGAAAAUGUACAUACAGAUAUUUCUUGAAUAUCUGGGGUUGUCGAAGUGCUGAUUACUUUCUUAUUUUUAUCAUUUAGUGAGCAUCCUGUAUUUCAUAAAAAUUGGGGGCGAUAUAAUCUUUACGCAAAGGCCAUCCUAUCCAACUUUCGGGCAUUAAAAUACGUUUCAGACGCGGAUGAUUAUCAUAAGAGAUUCCUAACAUAUCAUAAGAUUCCCUUUCUUGAAAAUCAGCACUUUUCCAAACCCAGAAAAUAGAAGGAAUUCUCGGAUUUUGCCUUGGGACAAAUACUUUUAUGCAUACCUCUUCGGGUUGAUCUAGACUAUACUCUAUUCUCGUAAGAUGAUAGACACUAGCUAAUAGUCCUCCUGGUGCUACAUCAUAGGCACAUUGGGAACGUAGAUAAUUGUAACCAUAUACAUAUAAAAUAACAGCAAUCGAAUGCCAAUCCUCGGGCUUUAUUUGUAAAGUCUCUAUUCCUUGGUAAUCAAAACCCAAAGAUCUAUGAACUAUUCCGUGUUUGACUAGCCAAGCAGACAGAUGACCCUGCAUUUUUUUUACUUCUCCUGCUUUUUUUUAUAUAAGUUUGGUAUUAGAAUGAAAUUUUUGAAGAUUGACUUGCUUGCUAUUUCUUAUUGUAUUUUGUACAAAAGGAUCCUGUUUAAUUCACUUUUUCGUUUGUCGGAGGAUACUUAACUUUUUUAUAUUUGAAAAAUGUGUCAGAGGUUAUCUCUGAAAUAGAUGAUGGUUGAUAAAAUAAUCCUUGAUUAUAAUUGCCGGUAUGAGUACUGCGUCCAAGAUGAAAUUUGUGGUUCGUAGUAAAACACCUAUUCUCUCGUUGAUAACAAAUUAGAUCUUCAUAGAUUUCUCGAGAUAUUUUCUUACGAAGUUUUGUUAUAGCAUCUAUAACGGCUUCCGGUUUAGGUGGACAGCCUGGCAAAUAGACAUCCACAGGAAUUAGUUUAUCCACGCCCCGAACAGUACUAUAAGAAUCGGUACUGAACAUCCCUCCUGUAAUUGUACAGGCUCCCAUAGCAAUAACAUAUUUUGGUUCGGGCAUUUGCUCAUAUAAUCGAACUAAAGAAGGAGCCAUUUUCAUAGUUACGGUGCCCGCUAUUAAAAUAAGGUCUGCCUGCCUAGGACUCGACCGUGGUACCAGUCCAUAACGAUCAAAGUCAAAUCGUGAUCCUAUUAAUGAAGCAAAUUCAAUGAAGCAACAACUAGUACCAUAGAGAAGUGGCCAUAAACUGGAUAGUCUUGACCAAUUUGAAAGAUCAUUUAAUGUAGUAGAAAUAACCGAAUUUUUGGUUUUUUGAUCAAGUAAGGGAAACUCAAUGGAAUUCAUAACUGUCUCAAUGUUUUGUUUAAUUGUCUAAAUAUUCAAGAAUUAAGACCAUUCUAAUGCUCCCUUCCGCCAUGCAUAAACUAAACCAACAAUUAGGAUAAGGACGAAGAUGAAAGCUUCUAUAAAUACGGAUACCCCCAAUACAUCAAAACUCAUUGCCCAUGGGUAAAGAAAGACUGUUUCAACAUCAAAAACAACAAAAACUAGAGCAAACAUAUAAUAACGGAUUUGAAAUUGUAACCAAGCAUCGCCCAUCGGUUCUAUCCCAGAUUCAUAACUAGAAAGUUUUUCUGGCCCUUUUCUAAUUGGAGCUAAAAUUCCAGAAAUCAGAAAUGCCAAAAUAGGAAUAAAGAUCGAUAUUAUUAGAAAUGUCCAAAAAAUAUCAUAUUCAUAAAGCAAAAACAUAAAUGUACUCCUAUGAAUGUGAAAAAUAUACCGGAUUCUUAUUAAUUCUUAGUCGAUUUGAAUUGAAAUUUUCAAAUUAUUAGAUUAAUGAAAAUUAAUCUAAAUACUAAAUAGAAAUGCUUUUUAUUUUAUUAAAUUUACAUUAUUUCGGAUCAAAUUCAUACUAGUAUCUGAGUAUACUAAUAGAAAUAUUAUUCUAUCCAAUAUUAAUCUAUUCAAAUAGAAAUUGAUUCAUUUUUAAUAAUACUAAUUAACUAAAAAUAUAGUAUAUUUAAACUAGUAAUAUUACAAGUAUGGAGUAUUUAGUAUUCCAUAUACUAUUAAUAUAAUUAAUAGUAUAUAGUACUAAAUACUAUAUAGUACUAUAUCAAAUAUAUCGACUAUUAUAUCUACUAUUAUAUAAGUAUCUACUAUCUAUAAAUCUGAGUAGUAUAGGUAGCAAUAUUAGGGCUAUACGGACUCGAACCGUAGACCUUCUCGGUAAAACAGAUCAAACUAUUAUUAUCAAAAUGAUUUGAAUUGUUUUAAAAACCCAACGUGCAUUUUUUUUUGCAUUGGGCUUUUUCAUUAACUGAUAGAAAUAUCAAUUAGUCUACCAUCUUUUUUCUUUACACAAAGAAAAAGGAAAUGAUUCCCUGUGCUCUGAUUUAUUUUUUUUUAGAUUUUAAUCUAAGAGCACUACCAAAGUUUUUCAAAGAAGAAGGUUAUCCUGACGUAGGUCUGCUUUUGGCCUGGAUCAACUAAAGUUAAAUGGACUCUCUAUCAACCCACUUAAAUAAAAAUAUCAAAUAGGAAAUGAAACUUCAUACACCUUAAAGUUCAUAAGAUAGGAAGAAAAGAGAAUUUUUUUGAGGUCCCUAGACUCAUUUGCCUAGCAUUGAAUAGAUUAAGUAUUCACCUUAUCAAUAUCUCAAAUCCAUUAUGGAUUUUAUUUGACGUCUAAAUCCUUUGUCAGGCUAUUGUUCUCUUAUUUUAUUCCUGGAGUAAGACAUGGAUUUCUCAAUAAGAUCAACUCUUUUAAUUACAUGAUGGACUCCUAUGAAAAAAAAACAUUGGCGCGUGUGUAAACGAGGUGCUCUACCAACUGAGCUAUAGCCCUUGUGCUUUUGAUACAUAUUUUAUUCGAUAAAUAAAUUCUUGUCAAGAUUAAUAUUACAUGAUCGAAUCUCUUUGAUUGAUAGUGCGUUGGUAUUGUUUAUAAGUAAUAUAACAUUUAUAAUCCAUUGAUCUGAUAGAUGGGUACUUUUUUUAUUUAGGAUGAUAAACGACCUACUUAACUCAGUGGUUAGAGUAUUGCUUUCAUACGGCAGGAGUCAUUGGUUCAAAUCCAAUAGUAGGUAAGGUAUAGAUAGAACGUAUUAGAUACCAUUGAUUCCGGUAUCUAAUAAGUUUUUCUACUCAUCUUUUUUUAUUGUAAUUUUCUAUCUUUUUCUAUUUUUAAUUAUUUUGCUGAACCAACUUGUUACGAGAUCCUAUUGAUAGCCUCUACUCGUGUCCUAGCUCGUCGGAGAGCUAGAUUUGCCUCAAUUUUUUGUCUUUUCCCUUCAGCCUUAUUCAAGUUAGCUUCUGCUAUUUUUAGAGUUUGUUGUGCUUCUUGUGGAUCAAUGUCAAUACUCUUUUCCGCAUCAUUUACUAAAAUAGUGAUCUCAUUAUUUCCUAUUCUAGCAAAACCGCCCAUCAGAGCCAUCGUUACCCAUUGUCGGUUGUUAUUGUUAAGGCGUAUUUUCAAAAUACCUAUAUCUAAAGCUGUGGCAAUAGGCGCAUGAUUUUUUAAUACCCCAAUUUGUCCACUAUUAGUAGAUAAAAUAAUUUCCUUCACUUCUGAAUCCCAAACAGUUCGAUUGGGGGUCAGUACACAAAGAUUUAAAGUCAUUUCUUGAAUUUGUUCUCCAUUUACAAGUUCGCAGCCUUCGCAGUAGCUUCAUCGAUAUUACCCACCAAAUAAAAGGCUUGUUCAGGAAGACUAUCUAAUUCUCCAGAAAGAAUCAAUUUAAACCCUCUAAUUGUUUCUGCUAGACCAACAUAUUUCCCUGGGGAACCUGUAAAUACUUCUGCUACGAAAAAAGGUUGGGAUAAGAAACGUUCAAUUUUUCGUGCUCUUGCUACGGUUAAACGAUCCUCUUCGGAUAAUUCGUCCAACCCAAGAAUAGCUAUAAUGUCCUGAAGUUCUUUGUAACGUUGUAACGUUUGUUUAACCCUUUGCGCAGUUUCAUAAUGUUCUUCACCAACGAUCCGAGGUUGGAGCAUGGUUGACGUUGAAUCUAAAGGAUCGACUGCUGGAUAGAUACCUUUGGAAGCUAAUCCUCUUGAUAGUACAGUAGUAGCAUCCAAAUGUGCAAAUGUCGUGGCAGGAGCAGGAUCGGUCAAAUCGUCUGCAGGUACAUAAACUGCUUGAAUAGAAGUUAUAGACCCUUCUUUGGUAGAAGUAAUUCGUUCUUGUAAAGUACCCAUUUCAGUACCCAGGGUGGGUUGAUAACCCACAGCGGAAGGCAUUCGGCCCAAUAGGGCAGAUACUUCGGAUCCGGCUUGGACAAAACGGAAGAUAUUGUCGAUAAAUAGAAGGACGUCCUGUUCAUUGACAUCUCGGAAAUAUUCUGCCAUAGUUAGGGCAGUUAAACCAACUCUCAUACGAGCUCCGGGCGGUUCAUUCAUUUGCCCGUAGACUAGAGCUACUUUUGAUUCCGCAAUAUUUUUUCCAUUAAUUACUCCGGAUUCUUUCAUUUCCAUAUAAAGAUCAUUUCCCUCACGAGUACGCUCACCUACUCCGCCAAAUACGGAUACACCUCCAUGAGCUUUGGCAAUGUUAUUGAUCAAUUCCAUAAUCAGUACUGUUUUACCUACCCCAGCUCCACCGAAAAGUCCUAUUUUUCCGCCACGGCGAUAAGGAGCUAAAAGAUCUACAACUUUAAUUCCUGUUUCAAAAAUGGAUAAUUUUGUAUCUAACUGUAUAAAGGCAGGCGCGGAUCUAUGAAUAGGAGAGGUUGUCCCAGUAUCUACAGGACCUAAAUUAUCAAUAGGCUCUCCAAGCACGUUGAAAAUUCGACCUAGGGUUGCUCCGCCGACUGGAACACUUAGGGGAGCUCCCGUGUUAAUCACAACCAUUCCUCUCUUUAGACCAUCUGUAGCACUCAUAGCUACAGCUCUAACUCUAUUAUUUCCUAAUAAUUGCUGUACUUCACAAGUUACGUUAAUUUCUUGGCCAACAGUAUCUCGACCUUGAACUAUCAGAGCGUUGUAAAUAUUAGGCAUCUUCCCUGGUGGAAAAACUACAUCGAGUACCGGACCAAUUAUUUGCGUGAUACGUCCUAUAUUUUUUUUUUCAAGUCCAGAAACCUCAGUAUCCGAAGUGGUAGGAGUUAGUCU
rnacentral:lncRNA from 1 species